ACAGCUGCCGCUCAGGGAGGCCGCCAUCCCAGGGAGGGCCAAGCUGCUGAAGCCUUCCCUCUCCAAUGGGUCCGUAAAUAUUAACCCCUUCUUCCCAGAAUUUCUAACUAUUGAAAGGUAAUCUAAUUAUUGAGAGCUGAGUAACGUACCAAGGGAAAAACAAGAUGCCAAGACCCCAUUGAGCAUUUGGCCUCGGCAUUUUCUAAGUGUAGUUUGAACAUGAAGGGUUUUUUUUUCCCUUAUUACAAACCUUUCUGCACCUAAUUCCCUCAUUAUACCACAAAAUAUUUUUUUUUUCUGGAAGACAUCAAUCUUUUCCCUCACACUCGAUAUGAAACUCAGCUACAGAACAAAAGGCCACUUAACACUACUGGAAUCUUAGUGGAUCAGUCAGACCCAUCUUAAAUUCUGGGAUUUGACCACAGGCUUGUUUCCUCUGAGAUAUAACUAGCAGAAAUCUGAAGUCAAUACCAGGUGGAGGUCAUCCCCUUCAAGCCAGUGAG